rnacentral:rRNA from 1 species
GAUGAACGCUAGCUACAGGCUUAACACAUGCAAGUCGAGGGGCAGCAUGAGCUCAGUUAUUCUGGGUUUGAUGGCGACCGGCGCACGGGUGAGUAACGCGUAUCCAACCUGCCCUUUACGCGGGGAUAGCCUUCUGAAAGGAAGUUUAAUACCCGAUGAAUUCGUUUAGUCGCAUGGCUUGAUGAAGAAAGAUUUAUCAGUAAAGGAUGGGGAUGCGUCCCAUUAGCUUGUUGGCGGGUAACGGCCACCAAGGCGACGAUACAUAGGGGGACUGAGACGGUUAACCCCCACACUGGUACUGAGACACGGACCAGACUCCUACGGGAGGCAGCAGUGAGGAAUAUUGGUCAAUGGGGGAAACCCUGAUGCAGCGACGCCGCGUGGAGGAAGAAGGUCUUCGGAUUGUAAACUCCUGUUGUUGAGGAAGAUAAUGACGGUACUCAACAAGGAAGUGACGGCUAACUACGUG